AUGCUCACUUCAAGCAGCACAUAUACUAAAAUUGGGAUGAUAGGGAGAAAAUUAGCAUGGCUCCUGCACAAGUAUGACACACAAAUUCCUGAAGAGUUCCAUAUUUUU